UACGUAGGGUGCAAGCGUUAAUCGGAAUUACUGGGCGUAAAGCGUGCGCAGGCGGUCUGUCAAGUCGGAUGUGAAAUCCCCGGGCUCAACCUGGGAACUGCAUUCGAAACUGGCAGGCUAGAGUCUUGUAGAGGGGGGUAGAAUUCCAGGUGUAGCGGUGAAAUGCGCAGAUAUCAGGAGGAACACCAAUAGCGAAGGCAGCUCGCUGGGACGUUACUGACACUAAGGCGCGAAAGCGUGGGGAGCGAACAGG
rnacentral:rRNA from 1 species